AUGAAUUUGAAGAACUUUAUCUGAAACAAAUUAACAGGUUUAAGGAGUGAAGACGAAAAUAUAGUUAACUAAUAAUAGGGUUUUAAAUAGACCGUGUGUUUGAAAAAUUCCGUCUGCCCAGCUAUAACGAUAGUGAAAUACGGAAAGUGCAUCUUAAUUUUUAUGUUUCUAAAUUAAGAUUUGUUUAAUUUUCUUAAAACGUUGACUUUUCAACAGUGCAAUAGCAAAAUAAAGUUUUAUAUAAUUGUGUAUUUUCAUGGAUCGAGAAACGUGUAUUUUAUAAAUUAUACAUUCUUCGAUUAUUAUUCCUAAAUGUUUAUUAGGAGGUUAACUUGAACUUACUUAAACACAACAUAACCUAAGUAUGUAUUGGAGAUUAGCUUAUGUACGAGUAAAGUGGUGAAAUUUUCAGUGCGUUAUAGUUUUGGCUUUGUAAUAUGGUGUUUUAAAAUCAAAUAUAGAGACAAGAUUGUUAUUGUUCUUAAACAGUUUCAUGGUUCCGGAUAUUUAUUUACUUUCACUUGGUGACAAAAUAAAAGGUAUUUGUUACAAAAAAUUGCAGUAAAAAUGUGGCCUAUGUAUGUGGAUUAUUCGGAUGAUGAAUGUAGGAGAGUUUUACGGAGUUUAGAAUUAGAAGCUUAUGCAGCUGUUGUCAAUGCUUUUCGAGCUCAAGGUGCAUUGACCAAAGAAAGAAAGAAAUUGCUGCAAGAUUUGUGUUUUGCAUUAAGCAUAUCUAUAGAAAGGCAUAGAGCAGAGAUAAGGAGAGCUGUGAAUGAUGAGCAUUUGAACACAAUAGCAGAAAGG